UAACGCGUGGGUAACCUGGCCCAUACAGGGGGAUAACACUUAGAAAUAGGUGCUAAUACCGCAUAACAACAGAAAGCGCAUGCUUUUUGUUUGAAAACCAAGGUGGUAUGGGAUGGACCCGCGUCUGAUUAGCUGAUUGGCGGGGUAAAGGCCCACCAAGGCGACGAUCAGUAGCCGGCCUGAGAGGGUGGACGGCCACAUUGGGACUGAGACACGGCCCAAACUCCUACGGGAGGCAGCAGUGGGGAAUAUUGCACAAUGGGGGAAACCCUGAUGCAGCGACGCCGCGUGAGUGAAGAAGUAAUUCGUUAUGUAAAGCUCUAUCAGCAGGGAAGAAAAUGACGGUACCUGAGUAAGAAGCCCCGGCUAACUACGUGCCAGCAGCCGCGGUAAUACGUAGGGGGCAAGCGUUAUCCGGAUUUACUGGGUGUAAAGGGAGCGUAGACGGCAGUGCAAGUCUGGAGUGAAAGGCGGGGGCUCAACCCCCGGACUGCUCUGGAAACUGUACGGCUGGAGUGCAGGAGAGGUAAGUGGAAUUCCUAGUGUAGCGGUGAAAUGCGUAGAUAUUAGGAGGAACACCAGUGGCGAAGGCGGCUUACUGGACUGUAACUGACGUUGAGGCUCGAAAGCGUGGGGAGCAAACAGGAUUAGAUACCCUGGUAGUCCACGCCGUAAACGAUGAUCACUAGGUGU
rnacentral:rRNA from 1 species